CAGAAAUCCCAUCUCUCCUUCUGGCUACAGAGCACUUACUCCUGGAGCCCAUGAAAUCAAAUGCAGAUGUUCCUGAAUGGCAGUGAAGAAGAGGUUUCCCAAUGUGUCCAGAGGAGCUUUGGGGAUUGCAGUGAAUUCUAAGCUGGG